rnacentral:rRNA from 1 species
GACGAACGCUGGCGGCGUGCUUAACACAUGCAAGUCGAACGGAAAGGCCCUGCUUUUGUGGGGUGCUCGAGUGGCGAACGGGUGAGUAACACGUGAGUAACCUGCCCUUGACUUUGGGAUAACUUCAGGAAACUGGGGCUAAUACCGGAUAGGAGCUACUGCUGCAUGGUGGGGGUUGGAAAGUUUCGGCGGUUGGGGAUGGACUCGCGGCUUAUCAGCUUGUUGGUGGGGUAGUGGCUUACCAAGGCUUUGACGGGUAGCCGGCCUGAGAGGUUGACCGGCCACAUUGGGACUGAGAUACGGCCCAGACUCCUACGGGAGGCAGCAGUGGGGAAUAUUGCACAAUGGGCGGAAGCGUGAUGCAGCAACGCCGCGUGCGGGAUGACGGCCUUCGGGUUGUAAACCGCUUUCGCCUGUGACGAAGCGUGAGUGACGGUAAUGGGUAAAGAAGCACCGGCUAACUACGUG